UACAGAGGUCCCAAGCGUUGUUCGGAUUCAUUGGGCGUAAAGGGUGCGUAGGCGGCGCCGUAAGUCGGAUGUGAAAUCUCGGGGGCUCAACCCCCGAAACUGCAUUCGAUACUGCGGUGCUAGAGGACUCUAGAGGAAACUGGAAUUCACGGUGUAGCAGUGAAAUGCGUAGAUAUCGUGAGGAAGACCAGUGGCGAAGGCGGGUUUCUGGAGAGUUCCUGACGCUGAGGCACGAAGGCCAGGGGAGCAAACGGGG
rnacentral:rRNA from 1 species